rnacentral:rRNA from 1 species
AACAGGAUUAGAUACCCUGGUAGUCCACGCCGUAAACGAUGGAUACUAGUUGUUGGGCAUUAGCUCAGUGACUAAGCGAAAGUGAUAAGUAUCCCACCUGGGGAGUACGGUCGCAAGACUGAAACUCAAAGGAAUUGACGGGGGCCCGCACAAGCGGUGGAGCAUGUGGUUUAAUUCGAUGAUACGCGAGGAACCUUACCAGGGCUUAAAUGUAGUCUGACAGCUUUAGAGAUAGAGUUUUCUUCGGACAGAUUACAAGGUGCUGCAUGGUUGUCGUCAGCUCGUGCCGUGAGGUGUCAGGUUAAGUCCUAUAACGAGCGCAACCCCUGUCGUUAGUUGCCAGCAUGUAAAGAUGGGGACUCUAACGAGACUGCCGGUGCAAACCGCGAGGAAGGUGGGGAUGACGUCAAAUCAUCACGGCCCUUACGUCCUGGGCCACACACGUGCUACAAUGGUGGGGACAACGAGUCGCUAACCCGCGAGGGUAAGCUAAUCUUCAAACCCCAUCUCAGUUCGGAUCGGAGUCUGCAACUCGACUCCGUGAAGUUGGAAUCGCUAGUAAUCGCGUAUCAGCCAUGACGCGGUGAAUACGUUCCCGGGCCUUGUACACACCGCCCGUCAAGCCAUGGAAGCUGGGAGUACCUGAAGUCGGUCACCGCAAGGAGCCGCCUAGGGUAAAACUAGUAAC